AUUGAACGCUGGCGGCAUGCCUUACACAUGCAAGUCGAACGGCAGCACGGGAGCAAUCCUGGUGGCGAGUGGCGAACGGGUGAGUAAUAUAUCGGAACGUGCCCAGUCGUGGGGGAUAACGUAGCGAAAGCUACGCUAAUACCGCAUACGAUCUAUGGAUGAAANCGGGGGAUCGCAAGACCUCGCGCGAUUGGAGCGGCCGAUAUCAGAUUAGGUAGUUGGUGAGGUAAAGGCUCGCCAAGCCGACGAUCUGUAGCUGGUCUGAGAGGACGACCAGCCACACUGGGACUGAGACACGGCCCAGACUCCUACGGGAGGCAGCAGUGGGGAAUUUUGGACAAUGGCGCAAGCCUGAUCCAGCAAUGCCGCGU
rnacentral:rRNA from 1 species